GACGGAGGAUGCAAGUGUUAUCCGGAAUCACUGGGCGUAAAGCGUCUGUAGGUGGUUUAAAAAGUCUAUUGUUAAAAAUUGAAGCUUAACUUCAAAGAUGCAAUGGAAACUUUUAAAACUUGAGUAUGGUAGGGGUAGAGGGAAUUUCCAGUGGAGCGGUGAAAUGCGUAGAUAUUGGAAAGACCACCAAUGGCGAAGGCACUCUACUGGGCCAUUACUGACACUGAGAGACGAAAGCUAGGGGAGCAAAUGGG
rnacentral:rRNA from 1 species